GGUCAGAUGGCCGAGCGGUCUAAGGCGCCAGCUUCAGGAUUCUCCUGGACUUAUCCACUCUUCCCGAGUGGCCAUAAUAUGCUGGUCUAGUAAUAGGCGUGGGUUCGAAUCCCACUCUGAUCA